rnacentral:rRNA from 1 species
CCCUGGGAUUCGCGCAUGGGCGAGCCUGAUGCCAGCCAUGCCGCGUGGGUGAUGAAGGCCUUCGGGUUGUAAACCCCUUUUAUUUGGGACGAAGGGCAUUGGGCUACUUGGUUGCUGUCUUGGCCUUUCCGAUGCAAGAAGCCCCGGUUUCCUCUGUGCCCGCCGGCGCGGUAAUCA